AACGAACGCUGGCGGCAUGCCUAACACAUGCAAGUCGAACGAGACCUUCGGGUCUAUUGGCGCACGGGUGCGUAACGCGUGGGAACCUGCCCUUAGGUUCGGAAUAACUCCCCGAAAGGGGUGCUAAUACCGGAUAAUGUCUUCGGACCAAAGAUUUAUCGCCUUUGGAUGGGCCCGCGUUGGAUUAGCUAGUUGGUAGGGUAAAAGCAUACCAAGGCGACGAUCCAUAGCUGGUCUGAGAGGAUGAUCAGCCACACUGGGACUGAGACACGGCCCAGACUCCUACGGGAGGCAGGAGUGGGGAAUAUUGGACAAUGGGCGAAAGCAUGAUCCAGCAAUGCCGCGUGAGUGAUGAAGGCCUUAGGGUUGUAAAGCUCUUUUACCCGGGAUGAUAAUGACAGUACCGGGAGAAUAAGCUCCGGCUAACUCCGUG
rnacentral:rRNA from 1 species